CUCUGAAACAGAUCCAAGAUGUUGUUUGAGCCAUGCAACUAGAAGAUCUCAUAGAACUAAAGUUAUCUAAUUUACAGAAAAGGUUUUACGUGACGUCUAUUGUACAGAUUCAUAUGAAAACCAUAGUUCAAACUCCAAGGUUUAAGAAGUAAGAAAGAUCAUGCCAUUUGCAACAAACAUGCAUGCAUAUUUGAAAAGCAACUGUAAGUAUGCUAUUGGACAUUGGUAAAGAUUGAAUAUCUGACCAUGGCAUAUCAAGAAACCAUGGAAUGAGUACUGCUUAUCAAGAUCUGGGUGUGAGAAGACUUAAAAAGUCAGAUAGUCAGUGAGAACCAGCUAGAAUCCAUGAUCUGUUGUGGGAAAACUAGAAGACCAAAAAAAGCACGAAAGUCAAGAAAGAAGUCUCUUUUCACAUGAAAGUGGCCUGAAGACAAAUACUGCUAUGAAUGGUUACAUCUAGGACUUCUGAAAUUAGCCCCAGAUUCAACUCAUUUUUUUCUGCAUUUGCUGAGCAAUAUGACAUGUUUACACCGAUUAGCUAAAAAGUUAUGUGAAGAAUGGGCAACAAUAUCUCUAAGGCAAGAUAUGUUCAGAUCCAAUAUAGUUCAUAUAGACCUUGUCAGAGUAAAUGACCAUGUGCCUUUCAGAACACUAAAGAAUAAAAUCCUUCCACAUUAGAAUGACAAA
rnacentral:lncRNA from 10 species